GAGAGUUAAACAGUACGUGAAAUUGUUGAAAGGGAAACGAUUGAAGUCAGUCAUACCAACGGGAAAUCAACCUUUUGAGUUUGGUCUCGUGGGUUUUGAAGAGUUUAAAAGCCUUCGGAUUUUCGAGAUUGGGUUCUUCUGGUGUACUUUCUCGUACGGUUAGUCAACAUCGGUUUUGAAUGUCAUAAAAUGGCUGGAGGAAUGUGGCUUCGAUCUCGUAUUGAAGUGUUAUAGCCUUUGGUAGAUGUGAUGUUCGAGACCGAGGAUUGCAACGGAUACCCUUCUGGGCUAUUCGUCUGAUCUCUGAAACGUUGCCUUGAUGUCGAAAGCUUGCUUAUGAUGUUAGGGUAUUACGGUCAAAAGGUUAGAACGGAUUAAAUUCGUUAAGGAUGUUGACGUAAUGACUUUAAACGA
rnacentral:rRNA from 1 species